UCAUUUAAGAGAAAAGAUCCAAAGCAUCGUCUACUAGUUUAUCCUUGCAUAAACCGUCAAUGAUGGUGUUGUAAACCACAGUAUUAGGUUCACAACCACCUUUUUCCAUUAUCUUGAGCAACCUAAUGGCCAUGGAAGUGUUGCCUGUUUUGCAAAGCCCAUUGAUAAUGGUGGCGUACAUAACUACAUCAGAUUCAAUCUCUUUUGCCCUUAUCAACUUCUUGAACAAUUCCUCUGCCUCCAGAAACUUGUUUUCUGAAAGGAGCCCCCUUAUGAGAGUAGUGUAGGUAAAGACAUCCGGAACAAAAUCGAAUACAGCUAAUAAUCGAUUGAAAUCGAUUACAGAAGGUAGGGGUCGCAUUUGGAGCAUAGAACCGAACAGAAGAAGAGCAUCUUGGGGCUUAUCAAACCCAGAUUUGCAUUUCUGUAGGAGUAAUUGCUGUAGUUUUGUACGAGGAAGGGAUUGAGAUUGGGGUUUGUUAAGAUUGGGAAAGUAUGGAGUGGGAGAUGAUGGAGUGAGAAAAAAGGAGGAUUAAAGUAGAAGGAAUGUAGGAGAGGAGAUGUAUUACCCGGUGAGAGUUUGAUAUGUAAAAUGGAUGAUCUCAAACCAAUUCCACAAUAUCCCCUUCUUCCCAUUUCUCAACCCCUUUCUUUGAAAAGAUUCCUCUCCCCUUCUUACAGAUAAGAGAAGAGAAGCGAAAGACAGAAAUGGGUAAAAAGUAGAAAACUAAUAUUUUGAUAUGUAAAAAACAAAAAAAAACUUACAAAAACGUGAAAGAGAGUGUAAUUAAUGAAUGAUCCACCAACCAACCAUUUUGUAAGCAACUUUUUAUAACAUUAUUUUGUUAACAAAAUACUAUUGCUAGUCAUUUAUGUACAAUGUCUGGCAACUCGCAAGUCUUCUUUUAACAUAAUCUUUUUUAUAUUUUUCUUAUAUAUAUAUAUAUAUAUAUAUAUAUAUUUUUAAAACUCGACUCCCCAAAGGCAAAAACACUAUCCAUUAAUCGACUAAAAGAAUGGCAUAUAACUUGGCAGUAAUAUCACUCAAUAGCUACAAUCCACACAUACAGUAAGUAGUGUGGAAGAUAUUGUUUCUGUAAUUUGACUACAAACAAAUUCCUCGAAAAAGUAAUCAGAUAGCAACCAACAUAAGCAUAUCUAAAACACCAACUCUCAAAUUUAACCAACAGCAAAAUUUAACAUUCUCAAACCCCAGUAAAAUAAUUGGUUUAAAAACGAUCACAAUAGGGUAAAAGAUUACAAGUGUAAAUCAUGUGAUUACAUGCAAUUACAGAAAUGCAUCCUUCUCGAGCAGCUCGAGCACUUCCGGUUUGUUGUUCAAUUUGGCAACAUCAAUUGGUGACUUACCAUCCAAGUUUUGAAGGGUGCUGCAACAAAGAAAAAAAUAAGAAUUAAAUAACUAAAUAAAACAAUAAGCAGCAACCAAAUGUUUGCCAUAGAAAAUAGCUUACACAGCGGCACCAUUCUCCAGCAGAAGUGCUACACACUCCUUCCUUCCGUAACCAGCUGCAUAAUGAAGAGCAGUAUUCUUAUUCUUAUCCAGGGCAUCCACCUUUGCUCCAGCCUCGAGAAGGACCUGAGCGCAUUUCAACUGGAAUUGCACCAACGCACGUUUGCUUAGCUCAAUUAAACUAGAGGGAGAGACAGAUACAGAGACAGAGGCGCUCGCCACACUACCAUGGAGCUGUUGCUUAGCCUCAUUUCCAAAAAACAAAAAAAAAUGAAGUGUGUAGUUCUUGAACAACAAUUAAUGACCAAAUAUCAAAAAAUGCACGCCAAAAAUAGCUUUUUGGCAGCUGGUCAGGAGUUAGGACAACCAUAUUCCUCAAAGCAUUAACUUGGGACAUUCCCCCCCNNNNNNNNNNNNNNNNNNNNNNNNNNNNNNNNNNNNNNNNNNNNNNNNNNNNNNNNNNNNNNNNNNNNNNNNNNNNNNNNNNNNNNNNNNNNNNNNNNNNCCCCCUUUCUCUUCUUUUUUGUCUUCAUUCUUAAAAAUUUAUUUAUCUUCCAGUCUUUCUUUCUCAUCCUAAAUGCAACCAAAGAUAUUUGGUGUCAUAGAGAUAAGACUUCUGGACUUAACUACUUGUCCUCUCAACUUCAAAAAAUUUAGCAAACACAUUGCAGGUGAAAUACACCACAAGGUGGUUAUUUUCCAGCUAGAAAAUCACCAAGGUCAAUGAAAACGAUAAAUUGAGGUCAAUAAGGUAUUCUAAUUCUUUUGUAAAAAGUAGAAGUUGGCAACAUCCUACAAAUAAAGUUUAAUCCAAGUGGCCCACGGUAUAUAAACCUAAAGUUAAUAUGAUGAACAAUGGUAUAUCUCUUAAAUUAAAAUGCUCAUUUGCUAUAUUUAUUCAAUUAAAUUAGGAUGCACUUUAGGGUUAGCCACAAAACUAAAGGAAAUUUCCAAUUAAAUAAUCCCCCUUAAGAAUAAUUAGAGCUCAAGGCGAGACUUGAUUAUUAUAAAUAGAAAAAGUAGAAAGCAGAUACAAAAUAAGUUUAGUCCAACUAACCCAAAGGAUUAAAAAAAAAUCAGUUAACAUUUUGGCACACAGAGGACAGAACCACUUGGCAUGUUAAGAUUCAGGGGCGAGGGGGAGGUGGGAGAAGUGAAAUAAGAGAGAAUAUAUGGCACUAGUGUAGAAAAUGCACACAUAACAACCUUAUAGAUUUAAAUUCACAUAUUGGGGAAACUAACAACGAAGAAACUAAAUGAUCCCUUGGUUUUCAACAUAUAAACUAGCAAGCUGUAGCUUUUCAAAAUCUCAAAUCAGCAAGUUCAGAUAAUUGACUGAGUACGGGUAAUUCCUUGAGAAGACAAACACAUACAAAAGUGUACAGGGGCCAAAAAGGUCUCAAGGUACUAUCAAUCAUACCUCACCAUAUCCACAUGCAAAAUGCAAAGCUGUCCUACCCUCUGAAUCUUCUUCAUCCUUAUCAGCACCCGAAGCUAGUGCAUUUUUCAAACCCUAAUUAUUAUAGAGCAAUAACAAGUCAACUAUCUUGUAGAGCCACAGAAAAUGCACUCAAUGGUAGGGAGUAUAAGACAUAUUAACUUGAUAUUAAUCAAGUACAACAAAGAAAAAAUAAAACUUGGUGAUUGAUAAUUGGUCUGGUAAAAUAUAAAACUCAGUAGGACUUAUGAGAAGGAAAGAAAUAAAUUCAUAGGUUGAAUCUGUAGAUCAUAGUAACUGAGCAAGGUGCCAUGUUAAGAUGUCAGGACUUGGUGUACAUAUUCUUAUGGUAAACAUUCAAUUAAAUGAACAAAGAGAUUUUCCUUUCUUUAAGAUAAGUUAAACUAAUAUUUUCUUUGCAUCAAAUAAAGCUUUUAGAAAAUAAACAAAAGACAAGAAAAACUUAGUACACUUCAGAAACUCGACAGGAUUUUAUACAACAGUGCGAUUUGCUUCAGCAAAGAGUCAUAAAACCUUAAUAAGAAUGACCUUUAUCUGGGCUAAUAAGCUUGUCAUAUUAGAAUGCCUGGCUGCCUCUUUGUUCAGGGAAGAACCGGGAGGAAGAGUGGGAAAAGGACAAGUGAACAACCAAACUCUAUUUCCUUGAAAAUAAUAGGGCAUACAUGUCUUUCUUGCCAAUGCAGGUGCAAAGUUAAAAAGAUGAACGAACUUGUUCGUUUAGUACUUCAUGAUAAAUCUAUGUCACUUCAAGUACAUAAAUAGUAAAUACAAAACAAUUGUGAUUAAUACAAGUAUAUAUGUAUGUAAAACGACCAAACUCAUAACCAAUAACGUACUUGAACUCAUAAUCUAGAGAACUAAAAAACAGUAAAACUUAGUAAUAAUUACCAAGUAACAAAAGACGAGCAAUUAGUUAAUCCACCUACUUUUUACUUCCAUAAAAAGAGAAAAUUUUAUUAGAAAGGAAAAAGAAUACGAGAGAGAGUGAUACUACUUCUACGAAAAAGAUUCUUCCACAUUUUGACUUUGAUUAAAAUUAUUAUAAAAAAAUUCAUUACAUUUGUAAGUUGUAAUGAACCAAAUGGCACCUAGGACAAGAAUAAACACGGAACUGAGUUACCUCCACAUCACCAACACUAGCAGUGUGAUGAACAAUGGAUUCAUCCUCAUUUUCCACUUCAUCAGUUUCAUCUAACCCAGAGAUUUCAGCAGAAGUGUCAGCAUCUCCUGGAACCGCAAGACCCAUUGCUUCACCCAAUUUCUGGAGAACGUCUUUGUCGUUCCAGUACCUGAAAUAUAAUAGUCAGAUAAUAUGAAUACAGCUGAAGAUAAUUAUUCGCAGAUAAUAUUCGUCUUUUUUAGGAAAAUAGGAUUACUAGCAAAGCCAAAAGUUACUAGAAAAAGGUUUAUGAAGGAUUUAAAACAAAUAGCUGAAAUAGUACACGCACGCCAAUGUUUUUAAGGGGAGUCCAUCCCAAUGAGUUGGAUGGGAAAUAGUCAGUGGGUUAUCUCAAUAGUUUCCUACUACGAUGUAUAGAAUUUCAAGGUCAUGCCUAUAUAAGUUGAUGCAAUAAGUACAUAUGGGUAAUGGUGUAAAUACACAUAUUUCUUUGAAAGUACAAUCAAUAUCGACAUAGAUACGAAAACGACAACAUUGAAUAAUGGAAAGACUGUCAUAAUAUCAAUAGCCGUCAAAAUUUAAGAUCACAAGUUUUUUUUAAAAAAAUAAAAAGAGAAACAUUUUUAGGUUCACCUGAUCUUCUUUCAGUAUAUUGUGACAACCAGCCACAUUGAAGAAGUGAACAAACACCUACACUAUAUGUAUUGCCAUGAAGAUGAACAAUGUUUUUUUAAUAUUAAUUGCUAGAACAAUAGAAAUGUGUAGAACAUAUCACAUCACACACUACACAUUAUUCUAUUCAUAUUUUAAAUGAUAAGUACAAACAGAAGCAUCAAAGACCUCAUCAUUGCAGCCGGGCCUCCACUUUCUAUUUCCUCUAAAAUUGGUUUCAAAGACGGAUAUCAAUGGAAUACAAAUUUGAAGUUCUUCUUGAAUACCUGUGUACAGUGAAGUUGUAAAAAUUUGACACCCUAUGAGAGGCUACGAAAAUAAACUAUAGAAAUAGAACAGGAAAAGGAGGAGAAACUUUGUGUGGUGGGAAGAGCACUAGUAUUACAGUCUAAUAUGCGUAUGAGAUUGAUAUCAUAUAUCCAUGUCAUUCCUUUGUUGUUCGUCUAAAUUCUUGUCCAUGUUGUGCAACUUUUAUAAGUCAAAAUGUGAAGGAAAUUAAGAUCAUUAUUGGUUAUAAUUGCAUCCACAGAAAAACGAAGAAGUGAAUUCAUGCUUUCUUUCCCGUAAAUGACCGAUCAACUAGAAAGGGUGAAUUCAUGCUUUCUUUCCGGUAAAUGACGGAUUAAAAGUUUCACAAAAGUGACAAAAGAAAAGAAAAAUUGUAAAAAUGCUCAUAGAUAAAGGUAGCUCUAUGUUUUGAAGUCGAUCUAGGUCUAAAAUAGUGUCUCAACUCUUCAGUGUCAUCAUUAUAUUAGUUAAGUACAACUCUUAUGCAAUUCUUAAAGUUCCAUUUGUCUUAUUUAAUGUCACAUCACUUAAGACACAUUUGACACCCCUAACAUUAUCUAUGAUUGUAUGAUUAUUUGAAUUUCUUACAAAUCAAUGUUUUUAUUCUUAAAUCUUCGCUUUUAUGCAAGUGGCGUGAAUUUUUUACAUUACCGGCCCAGCCUAAAACCCUAUCCAGCCCUCAGCCCGGCGUGGCCUAGACCCAAUUCAUUCCUAGGUAGAGAUGAAAGCAAUUAACUUUAAAAAAGACAACAUAUUAUAUAAAAAAUUUAUACAAGUCCAAAUUUGAAAGAAUUGCAAUCCUAGUUUGAGAUUAAAUCAAUUUUACAUAAGGAAGACAACACAUUAUAUACCUUUCCAACAUCUACAGAGAAUUUACCAACAAAUGAAAAUCUAGAAUCUCUUAUUUACUUCAGACUGCCAAGGCUAAAAACUUUAAACAUUUGAUAUAUGGUGUAUGGCCUGAAGCUUAAAUUUAAUCACAAGAUCGAGUGACCUAAUGGCAAGAACUUCUGUCGGAUCCAGUUCAUUUGACUAUAGUAGACUGACUAACAUGGAAGUUGUAGCUGCGUCGACCGAGAAGCCCUUGCCAACCAUUUUUUAUAUGAAUGCAGUUGCUUCGUUAUACAUCUUAUUUUGAAAACAUAAUCCAUGGUGUUGCAAGUGAAAUCAUUAGGCAAGCAUUCAUUAGCUUCCAUUACCAUUACAUUCCAUCAUAUGGAAAAAGGACAAUGCUUCAUAAAUAUAUUGGUUUUUGCAAAGGCCAUCGAACAAGAUAUAGCAUGUCCAAAUAUCUGGUCUACAGCCUUGAGCUUGCAUCUCUCAAAAAAAUCUCGUGCUGCAACAUAUCUGCCCUCCUUAAAUAGACCACGUAAAAUAGUGUUGUAAGUUGCAAUUGGGGGUUUCAAACCUUCACGAGGCAUUUGUCGGGAAAGAUCCAUAGCUUUGUUUACUUCCAGCUUCUUGCAAUAUCCAUUUAAUCAAAGUGGUAUACCUACAACUGUCCGGCACAAUUCCCUUGUUCAUCAUGGUUUUAAACACUGCCAAUGCUCCAUGCAUUUGGCCUACCAAACAAUACCCAUCCAUGAGUGUCCUGAAGGAUACUACAUCAGGAUUCAUCUCUUUGAAUCAUUUUUUCGAACACAUGCACUGCUUCUUUUAUUUUCCCUUCCUUGCAAUAUGAAUCAACCAAUAUAUUGAAGGUAAUCACAUCCGGAGAAAUUUUCAUACUGGCCAUCUCACUCGAUAUUUUCUUAGUCUCUCCCCAUCGACCCAAGUUGCAUAGUGAACAUUAAGUUAUAGCACUCGGUGGUAUGCAUUUCUUAUUCAUUUAACAAAAAAAAUCCAAAGCAUCAUCUACUAGUUUAUCCUUGCUUAAACUAUCAAUGACAGUGUUAUAAACCACAUUAUUAGGUUCACCUCGUUCCAUUAUUCUGAGCAACCUAAUUGCCAUGGAAGUGUUGCCUGUUUUGCAAACCCAUUGAUAAGCUUACAUUGUAAUCACAAGACUGAAUGAUGUAAAUCAUCUAACUGAUGGCAAGAACUUCUGACGCAUAGCAAGGAAAUUCGGAUCAUGUUCUUCUGUUGAGAGUAGAUCCAGUAACAUGGAGGUGGUAGAUGCAUCUGCGGAGAAGCCCUUGCCAACCAUUGUUUCUAUGAAUGCACUUCCUUCAUGAUACUUCUUAUUUUGAAAACAUCCGUGAAUAAUAGUGUUGUAGGUGCGAUCAUCUGGCGAACAAUCAUUACCUUCCAUUUCCACAAGUAGCUCGUUUGCUUCCUCCAACAAUCCUUCCUGACAAAGCGCUCGGAUCAUUAUUAUGUAAGUCUUAACAUUUGGCUGCAACCCUUUUAAAGAAAGACUAUCAAAAAUAUUUCUUGCCAUAUCUAGCUUUCCAUCUUUGCACAGUCCAUCAAUGAGGAUAGUGUAAAUACAGAUAUCAGGAAUUAAACCGUUACAUUCCAUUUCGUGAAACACGGACAACGCUUCAUCAAUAUAGUGGUUCCUGCAAAGGCCUUCUAACAAGAUACCACAUGUCAAAAUAUUUGGUCUAUAGCCUUGAGCUUGCAUCUCAUUAAAAAAAAUUUGUGCUGCAGCACAUCUACCCUUUUUAAAUAGCCCUUGCAAAAUAGUGCUAUAACUUACAAUUGUGGGUUUCAAACCUUGAUGGUGCAUUUUCCGGAAGAGGUCUAUAGCUUUGUCUACUUCCAGCUUCUUGCAAUAUCCAUUUAUCAAAGUGUUAUAGCUACAACUGUUCGGCACAAUUCCCUCAUUCAUCAUGGAACUCAACAUCGUCGAUGCUCCGUCCAUUUCUCCUCGCAAACAGUACCCAUCCAUGAGCGCAUUGUAGGUGACAACGUCAGGAUUCACUCCUAUUUGAAUCAUUUUUUCCAACCCAUUUUCUGCAUCUUUUACCAUCCCUUCCUUGUAAUACGAAUCAACUAAUAUAUUAAAGGUAAUAACAUUUGGAGAAACUUUCAUACUGGCCAUCUCACUUAAUAUUUGCUUAGUCUCUCCCCAUCGACCCAAGUUACAUAGACCUUGAACUAAUGAAUUGUGAGUUAUAACACACGGUGGUAUGCCUUUCUUAAUUAUUUCAGAGAAAAGAUCCAAAACAUCGUCUACUAGUUUAUCCUUGCAUAAACCGUCAAUGAUGGUGUUGUAAACCACAGUAUUAGGUUCACAACCACCUUUUUCCAUUAUGUUGAGCAACCGGAUGGCCAUGGAAGUGUUGCCUGUUUUGCACAGCCCAUUGAUAAAGGUGGCGUACAUAACUACAUCAGAUUCAAUCUCUUUUGCCCUUAUCAACUUCUUGAACAAUUCCUCUGCCUCCAGAAACUUGUUUUCUGAAAGGAGCCCCCUUAUGAGAGUAGUGUAGGUAAAGACAUCCGGAACAAA
rnacentral:lncRNA from 1 species